rnacentral:rRNA from 1 species
AUUGAACGCUGGCGGCAGGCCUAACACAUGCAAGUCGGGCGGAAACGAUAUAAACAAUCCUUCGGGUGCGUUUAUAGGCGUCGAGCGGCGGACGGGUGAGUAAUGCUUAGGAAGUUGCCCUGAUGAGGGGGAUAACCAUUGGAAACGAUGGCUAAUACCGCAUAAUCUCUUUGGAGCAAAGCAGGGGAUCUUCGGACCUUGCGCAUUGGGAUACGCCUAAGUGAGAUUAGCUAGUUGGUGAGGUAAAGGCUCACCAAGGCGACGAUCUCUAGCUGGUCUGAGAGGAUGAUCAGCCACACUGGAACUGAGACACGGUCCAGACUCCUACGGGAGGCAGCAGUGGGGAAUAUUGCACAAUGGGCGCAAGCCUGAUGCAGCCAUGCCGCGUGUAUGAAGAA